rnacentral:rRNA from 1 species
GACGAACGCUGGCGGCGUGCCUAAUACAUGCAAGUAGGACGCAGUUGCGAACGGGUGAGUAACGCGUAGGUAACUGCCUAUUAGAGGGGGAUAACUAUUGGAAACGAUAGCUAAUACCGCAUACUAGUAGAUGGACCUGCGUUGUAUUUGCUAGGAGGUAGGGUAAUGGCCUACCUAGGCAACGAUACAUAGCCGAACGGGGAGGGUUGUCGGCCACUCUGGGAAUGAGACACGGCCGAGACUCCUACGGGAAGCAGCAGGAGGGAAUCUUCGGGAAUGGGGGGAACCCUGACCGAGCAACGCCGCGUGAGUGGAGAAAGUUUGCGGAUCGUAAAGCUCUGUUGUUAAGGAAGCGGUACUUAACCAGAAAGGGACGGCUAACUACGUGCCAGCAGCCGCGGUAAUUC